rnacentral:rRNA from 1 species
ACCAGCAGCUGGAUCAUUUU